AGGAUUAACGCUGGCGGCGUGCCUAACACAUGCAAGUCGAACGGACCUUUAUUUUUGAGACGCCCCAUUUCCUUGGAGCGCCCCAUAAAUAAUGGUUAGUGGCGAACGGGUGAGUAACACGUUGGUACCUGCCCUCUAGUGGGGGAUAACUGCCCGAAAGGGUAGCUAAUACCGCAUGUGAUCUACGGAUCAAAGCAGCAAUGCGCUAGAGGAGGGGCCUGCGGCUGAUUAGCUUGUUGGUAGGGUAAUGGCCUACCAAGGCGACGAUCAGUAGCUGGAUCGAGAGGUUGACCAGCCACACUGGGACUGAGAUACGGCCCAGACUCCUACGGGAGGCAGCAGUGAGGAAUUUUCCACAAUGGACGAAAGUCUGAUGGAGCAACGCCGCGUGCAGGAAGACGGCCUUAGGGUUGUAAACUGUCUUUUAUUUGGGAAGAUUAUGACGGUACCAAAUGAAUAAGGAUCGGCUAACUACGUGCCAGCAGCCGC
rnacentral:rRNA from 1 species